rnacentral:rRNA from 1 species
GACGAACGCUGGCGGCGUGCUUAACACAUGCAAGUCGAACGGAGUUUAAAUCAGUAGUUUACUACAGAUUUAAACUUAGUGGCGGACGGGUGAGUAACACGUGGGCAACCUGCCCUAAAGAGGGGGAUAACACCGAGAAAUCGGUGCUAAUACCGCAUAAAAUUAGAGCUUCGCAUGGAGCUUUAAUCAAAGGAGUAAUCCGCUUUAGGAUGGGCCCGCGUCUGAUUAGCUAGUUGGUGAGGUAGAGGCUCACCAAGGCGACGAUCAGUAGCCGAUCUGAGAGGAUGACCGGCCACACUGGAACUGAGACACGGUCCAGACUCCUACGGGAGGCAGCAGUGGGGAAUAUUGCACAAUGGGGGGAACCCGUGAUGCAGCAACGCCGCGUGGAGGAAGAAGGUUUUCGGAUUGUAAACUCCUGUCUUUUGGGACGAUAAUGACGGUACCAAAAGAGGAAGCCACGGCUAACUACGUG